CUGUCUCAACGAAAGUUAGAAAUAACUUCAUCAUACCAAACAGGACUCCUGGAUGUUCUUAUGGAACCUUCAGAAGAUGUCAUAGAGGCAACCUAUGCAACUUUAACCAUAGUUUAUUUAUAUGU